GAGGUGUUAGUAAAACCAUUACAUAGCCUUGUCAAGGCUAAAUCACAGAUGAAAAUCCUGUAUACCUCU
rnacentral:tRNA from 1 species